rnacentral:rRNA from 1 species
CCUACGGGUGGCACCAGUGGGGAAUAUUGCACAAUGGGGGAAACCCUGAUGCAGCAACGCCGCGUGAGCGAUGAAGGCUUUCGAGUCGUAAAGCUCUGUCCUAAGGGAAGAUAAUGACGGUACCUUAGGAGGAAGCCCCGGCUAACUACGUGCCAGCAGCCGCGGUAAUACGUAGGGGGCAAGCGUUAUCCGGAAUUAUUGGGCGUAAAGGGUGCGUAGGCGGCCUUAUGGGUCAGAGGUUAAAUACUACGGCUUAACCGUAGUAUGCCUUUGAAACUAUAGGGCUUGAGUGCAGGAGAGGAGAGUGGAAUUCCUAGUGUAGCGGUGAAAUGCGUAGAUAUUAGGAGGAAUACCAGUGGCGAAGGCGACUCUCUGGACUGCAACUGACGCUAAGGCACGAAAGCGUGGGUAGCGAACAGGAUUAGAUACCCUAGUAGUC